UACGUAGGGACCGAGCGUUGUCCGGAAUCAUUGGGCGUAAAGAGCGUGUAGGCGGCCUUUUAAGUCCUGCGUGAAAUCCUGCGGCUCAACCGCAGACGGUCGUGGGAAACUGGAAGGCUAGAGUGCGGGAGAGGAGAGUGGAAUUCCAGGUGUAGCGGUGAAAUGCGUAGAUAUCUGGAGGAACACCGGUGGCGAAGGCGGCAUCCUGGACCGGUAUUGACGCUGAGGCGCGAAAGCUAGGGUAGCAAACGGG
rnacentral:rRNA from 1 species